UUGUUUGUUUUUUUUUUAGUCUCUCUUUCCAGGAUUUGAUUUUUAUUUAAUGUAUAUAGAAGAAGGCAAUGUUUUCUCCUAAAACCAGGAUUCUUGCAGCAGCCUGUUUCCUCUCUUUAAGUUUCUAUUAAUAGGCUCUUGCCCUGAAUUGUAGGUUCUCUUUCCUACAAGAACUAACUUGCUUCAUUUUCCUUCCCUCAUAAUACAGGACUUGUACACUGAAAUCAUAUCCCAUAGAAGCCAUUAGCCUAAUCAGCCUCACUCUUAAGGAAGCUGAUAAAUCAACAGUAAUCUGAACCUCAGCCUCCAUUCAAGUGCUGCCUGUGUCAAAGGACUCUGGAGUUCAUGCAGCUCUGUGUAAUGAGCUCUGCACUGGGAGGACAGAGAAAAUACAGCUUGAUGGCUGAUGAAUGUUUGAGUCUUUCUCCUUAUGAGCAGGACUGUGAUUUUCCUGUUCUGAGGGAAUUCUGCCAUACCUGCUGAGGGGAACCAAUAAAUCCAGAGGUGCAGCAUAGUCAGCCUCUCCAUCUCAUCUCUUUGGAGGAUGUUGAAAGAAAGUAUUAGAUGGAUUCUAAUGCUUUGGGAUAUAUCAUAAGUGCUUUGGGAUAUAACAUAAAUGAAUCUCAUAAAUAAUCAACUGAUGAAGUAAGUUGUGUUGAAAUCUUGAGGAUUAGGUGUAAAAAGAUGGAUGUCUAAAUACAUACCGUGCUUAUCUUUGGACACUGAGCAGCCAUAGCUUUCGUGGAUGUGU
rnacentral:lncRNA from 1 species